UAGUUUUUCGAGGAUUCAGACUUUC
rnacentral:piRNA from 1 species